GGUUAAGUGAAUAAGGGCGCACGGUGGAUGCCUUGGUACUAGGAGCCGAAGAAGGACGGAACUAACACCGAUAUGCUUUGGGGAGCUGUAAGUAAGCUAAGAUCCAAAGAUUUCCGAAUGGGGGAACCCAACACCUUUCAUAGGGUGUUACCAAUGAGUGAAUACAUAGCUCAUUAGGAGGUACACGCAGGGAACUGAAACAUCUCAUUACCUGCAGGAAGAGAAAGAAAAAUCGAUUCCCUGAGUAGCGGCGAGCGAAACGGGAGGAGCCCAAACCAACGAGCUUGCUUGUUGGGGUUGUAGGACUAGAACGUGAGAAGAAAUCAAGAUAGCAGAAGUGGUCUGGAAAGGCCCAUCAAAGAAGGUGACAAUCCUGUACGCGACAUCUUGAUGAACUCUACUAGCAUCCUGAGUACGGCGGGACACGAGGAAUCCCGUCGGAAUCCGCCAGGACCAUCUGGCAAGGCUAAAUACUACCUAGUGACCGAUAGUGAACCAGUACCGUGAGGGAAAGGUGAAAAGAACCCCGGGAGGGGAGUGAAAGAGUACCUGAAACCGUGUGCUUACAAGUAGUCAGAGCCCGUUAAUGGGUGAUGGCGUGCCUUUUGUAGAAUGAACCGGCGAGUUACGUUUACAUGCGAGGUUAAGAUGAAGAGUCGGAGCCGUAGCGAAAGCGAGUCUGAAUAGGGCGCAUGUAGUAUGUGGACGUAGACCCGAAACCAAGUGAUCUACCCAUGUCCAGGUUGAAGGUGCGGUAAAACGCACUGGAGGACCGAACCAGGGCACGUUGAAAAGUGCUUGGAUGAGGUGUGGGUAGCGGAGAAAUUCCAAUCGAACUUGGAGAUAGCUGGUUCUCUCCGAAAUAGCUUUAGGGCUAGCCUCGGAAUCAAGAAUCGUGGAGGUAGAGCACUGUUUGGACUAGGGGCCCAUCUCGGGUUACCGAAUUCAGAUAAACUCCGAAUGCCAUGUAUUUAUAUCCGGGAGUCAGACUGCGAGUGAUAAGAUCCGUAGUCGAAAGGGAAACAGCCCAGACCACCAGCUAAGGUCCCAAAAUAUCUGUUAAGUGGAAAAGGAUGUGGGGUUGCACAGACAACUAGGAUGUUGGCUUAGAAGCAGCCAUCAUUCAAAGAGUGCGUAAUAGCUCACUAGUCGAGUGACCCUGCGCCGAAAAUGUAACGGGGCUAAACAGAUUACCGAAGCUGUGGAUUGGACCUUAUGGUCCAGUGGUAGGAGAGCGUUCUAAGGGCGGUGAAGCAUGAUCGUAAGGACAUGUGGAGCGCUUAGAAGUGAGAAUGCCGGUAUGAGUAGCGAAAGACGGGUGAGAAUCCCGUCCACCGAAUAACUAAGGUUUCCUGGGGAAGGCUCGUCCUCCCAGGGUUAGUCGGGACCUAAGGCGAGGCCGAUAGGCGUAGUCGAUGGACAACAGGUUGAUAUUCCUGUACUUCUAUAAAUCGUUUGAGCAAUGGAGGGACGCAGGAGGCUAAGAAAAGCGUACGACUGGAAGUGUACGCCCAAGCAGUGAGUCGGCUGAUGAGUCAAAUGCUUAUCACGGAUGCGACAAGCUGUGACGGGGAGGGAAGUUUAGUACCGAAGUUUCUGAUGUCACACUGCCGAGAAAAGCUUCUAGCAAGAUUUAUAGGACCCGUACCGCAAACCGACACAGGUAGUUGAGGAGAGAAUCCUAAGGUGAGCGAGCGAACUCUCGUUAAGGAACUCGGCAAAAUGACCCCGUAACUUCGGGAGAAGGGGUGCUGGUAGCAAUACCAGCCGCAGUGAAUAGGCCCAGGCGACUGUUUAUCAAAAACACAGGUCUCUGCAAAAUCGAAAGAUGACGUAUAGGGGCUGACGCCUGCCCGGUGCUGGAAGGUUAAGAGGAGAGGUUAGCGCAAGCGAAGCUUUGAAUUGAAGCCCCAGUAAACGGCGGCCGUAACUAUAACGGUCCUAAGGUAGCGAAAUUCCUUGUCGGGUAAGUUCC
rnacentral:rRNA from 1 species